UCCAACCUGCCCACUGAAAUUUUAAAUGGCCGCAGUAUUUUAACUGUGCAAAGGUAGCAUAAUCAUUAGUCUUUUAAUUGAAGGCUGGAAUGAAUGGUUGAAUGAAAUAUUAACUGUUUCAUAUAAAUUAAAAAUAGAAUUUUAUUUUUUAGUUAAAAAGCUAAAAUUUUUUUAAAAGACGAGAAGACCCUAUAAAUCUUUAUAUUUAAGUUUUUAAUUUUUAUAUAGAUAAUUAAAAUUUUUAUAUAAUUAAAUAUUUUAUUGGGGUGAUAUUAAAAUUUACAUAACUUUUAAUUUUAAAUAAACAUAAAUUAUUGAAUUAUUGAUCCACAAAUUAUGAUUAAAAAAUUAAAUUACUUUANGGAUAACAGCGUAAUUUUUUUA
rnacentral:rRNA from 1 species